AUUGAACGCUGGCGGCAGGCCUAACACAUGCAAGUCGAGCGGAUGAAGGGAGCUUGCUCCUGGAUUCAGCGGCGGACGGGUGAGUAAUGCCUAGGAAUCUGCCUGGUAGUGGGGGAUAACGUCCGGAAACGGGCGCUAAUACCGCAUACGUCCUGAGGGAGAAAGUGGGGGAUCUUCGGACCUCACGCUAUCAGAUGAGCCUAGGUCGGAUUAGCUAGUUGGUGGGGUAAAGGCCUACCAAGGCGACGAUCCGUAACUGGUCUGAGAGGAUGAUCAGUCACACUGGAACUGAGACACGGUCCAGACUCCUACGGGAGGCAGCAGUGGGGAAUAUUGGACAAUGGGCGAAAGCCUGAUACAGCCAUGCCGCGUGUGUGAAGAAGGUCUUCGGAUUGUAAAGCACUUUAAGUUGGGAGGAAGGGCAGUAAGUUAAUACCUUGGUGUUUUGACGUUACCAACAGAAUAAGCACCGGCUAACUUCGUG
rnacentral:rRNA from 1 species